ACCUGCUGGAGACUUCCCUGAGAACUGCAUUUAGGAUCUGGCCCAGAGCCGCAAAAAGGGAAGCAGCAUCCUUGCCAGUUCCUAGACUGUCCUUCAAGGCUCAGUGCAAAGGGAAGAGGCUGGGGUUGGGCAUCCACAGACCUAAGUGAGUGUGCUGGCUCACCUUCCCGCCGCCCCUUUGACUUGAACAAGGUAUGCCCUUGUUCUUCCCCGAGCCCCACUUUCCUUCUCUCCAAAAUCAAGAUUUAAUGAUUUCCAAGGUUCUCAUUGGGCUUCCUUGGUGGCUCAAUGGUAAAGAAUCUGCCUGCAAUGCUGGAGAAAUGGGUUCAAUUACUGGGUUGGAAAGAUUCGCUGGAGAAGGAAAUAGCAAUCCGCACCAGUAUUCUUGCCUGGAAAAUCGCAUGGACAGAGGAGUCUGGAAGGCUACAGUCCAUGGGGUUGCAAAAGAGUCAGACAUGACUGAGCAACUAAACAACAAAACAACAGAGCUUAUUAGCUCCGAGGAUUCUGUUCACCCUAUUCCUGCUACUAUUCCCAUCCAGUGGACAACAUCUAAGUGGACAUACUCUUGCUGGCCCAGAUAUCUGCUUUUGCAAAUGCUACCAGGAUUUGGUGUGCCUUCUAUUCAACUUUUUUCACUUUAAGUCUGAAGUUUGCAAUAAGGAGUUCAUGAUCUGAGUCAUGGUCAGCUCCCAGUCUUGUUUUUGCUGACUGUAUAGAGCUUCUCCAUCUUUGGCUGCCAAGAAUAUAAUCAAUCUGAUUUCAGUACUGACCAUCUGCUGAUGUCCAUGUAUAGAGU
ensembl:lncRNA